CGUCCUUCCUCUGGGUGCUGGGAGGUGCUGAAGGGGGUUGAGAAACUUCGCAGUGGCAUUGAGCUCAAUGCCCUGUCUUGCUUCAGACUCCUAUGGAAUUUACAGGAAACUGUCAGCCAGUUCUGCUUCUGCUUAGUGAACCCUGGCCCCAAACAUCACGGCUGCGUACGUCCUUUCAGAGCCACAUCAAAGGGCCCUGCUGACUUCCUGAGCCGUGGGCACCCCUCCAGGCCCUGUGUUGACAUGAAACCUGCGUGUGGGAGCUUGUUUUGCUGCAGUUCAGAACGUGGUCCCACUUCAGACAGAUAAACAUUCAUUCUUGCAUGUCUAACCUGGGUAUUUCAGUCAGUGCUUCCCAGUGUCACCUGCAGUAAACUCCACAGGGGGAUGAGGACACCUUGGCAAGGGAAUAAGGAGCAGGAAGGCACCCAUAUAACUCCCUGUUUCCAUACCCAGUGGUUCUGACUCUCUGGGCCCUGCCCUGUUGCUGUGUUACUCGUUCCCAUCUCAAGGAGGAUGGAUGUGCUGCAUUCCUGAAGCACCAUGGGGAUGAAUUUUAGGCUACAUCUCAACUUUGAAACUACACCUGAAAUGAGGAGAAAUGAGUUCUCCUGUGUGCAUGUCAGCAAUGCACAGCCUGCACUGACAGCUGAGGAGGUUCUGCCUCUAUUUUGUGGGCUGAUCUCAAGCCCAGAGAAUGCCAGUAAGAACGACGCUUGUGAGGAAGUACUCUAAUGCAUUCAAUUCUCUCUGGAUAUUUUAAAACCCCUCUGUGAGCUGAUGUCAGACUUUUUAUCAGCUUUGCAUUCAGGAUGUGCCCAGGGUUUGCUGGGCUUGAGCUGUACAGCACCUGUGCAGUGGGGUGAGUGGUGGCUGUCCCAUCACAUCCCAUCCCAUCCCAUCCCACCCCACCCCAUCCCAGUGAUAAAGUCCAGCCUUUGCCAGAUCAGUGGGUGAGAGAAACCCCAAUGAGCAGGAGUGAAAUGUUCACAGCUUGGCAUCUCCUGUCCUCACGGAGGGGUUGUGAAGCAAAGGAGUGUGUUAUUACCCUGAUGUAGUGGUGGGAAGUGGGAAGAGUGAUGGACACGUUUGGAAUAACACUCUGGCUGCUGAAAAGCAGGAGGCUGAGCUCAUCGUGGGGAAACCCCAGUCCUGGCGUGCUGUCCCAGGAAUGCUGUGGGCUUGGACUGCUCCCAUGCUGUCCCAGGAAUGCUGUGGGCUCGGAUUCUCCCACAAGGAGCUGGUGCAGGAGGGUCCCAGGCAGCGUCCAGUGAGUCAGGAGUGCUGUGGUUUAACUGUGCUGCAACACUUCUGCUCUGAGCUGCAAAUAGUGUCAGGAAAGGAAGGAAAUAGGGUUUAUUGCAUCUUCUGAGCCUUGUCUGUGAAUUCCUGCAGCAUUUCCCUGCCCUCUGCCGGCCCUUCCUCACUGCUGCUGGAGCCCAGACAGCUCCAGCCAGGCAGAGCCGGCUCUGCACACACAGCCUGCUUGCUUCUGCUUUCUCCCUUCCUUUUUAACCCCUGUGCUGCCAGUCUGAAGCCUCACACAGUGCACGUGACACUCACAAUUGGCAGCAGAUUAAUAAAACAGAGCUUUUGUUCUUUGGGACUUUUGACUUGAAA